UACGAAGGGGGCUAGCGUUGUUCGGAAUCACUGGGCGUAAAGCGCACGUAGGCGGAUUUUUAAGUCAGGGGUGAAAUCCCGGGGCUCAACCUCGGAACUGCCUUUGAUACUGGAGAUCUUGAGUCCGGAAGAGGUAAGUGGAACUGCGAGUGUAGAGGUGAAAUUCGUAGAUAUUCGCAAGAACACCAGUGGCGAAGGCGGCUCACUGGCCCGGAACUGACGCUGAGGUGCGAAAGCGUGGGGAGCAAACAGG
rnacentral:rRNA from 1 species